GCUGGUUCUCUCCGAAAUAGCUUUAGGGCUAGCCUCAAGUGAUGAUUAUUGGAGGUAGAGCACUGUUUGGACGAGGGGCCCCUCUCGGGUUACCGAAUUCAGACAAACUCCGAAUGCCAAUUAAUUUAACUUGGGAGUCAGAACAUGGGUGAUAAGGUCCGUGUUCGAAAGGGAAACAGCCCAGACCACCAGCUAAGGUCCCAAAAUAUAUGUUAAGUGGAAAAGGAUGUGGCGUUGCCCAGACAACUAGGAUGUUGGCUUAGAAGCAGCCAUCAUUUAAAGAGUGCGUAAUAGCUCACUAGUCGAGUGACACUGCGCCGAAAAUGUACCGGGGCUAAACAUAUUACCGAAGCUGUGGAUUGUCCUUUGGACAAUGGUAGGAGAGCGUUCUAAGGGCGUUGAAGCAUGAUCGUAAGGACAUGUGGAGCGCUUAGAAGUGAGAAUGCCGGUGUGAGUAGCGAAAGACGGGUGAGAAUCCCGUCCACCGAUUGACUAAGGUUUCCAGAGGAAGGCUCGUCCGCUCUGGGUUAGUCGGGUCCUAAGCUGAGGCCGACAGGCGUAGGCGAUGGAU
rnacentral:rRNA from 1 species